UAUUUUAUGAUUCUAGGCCCUUGAUUGGGGCCUAUACAGGACCAGCUACUCCCAGAAAACGAACAGAAAAGAGAACAUUUUCCGAGUGUGCUCUUUCCUCCUCUUGGCUUCUGUCUCUGUGUUAUUCCCAGGCAAAGGACAGGAUCCAUCCGAUUUUCCAUAUUCCUAGGCCGGUUUUGAAAGCUCCUCCCCAGAUGCUGAGACCACAUCUCCCGUGCAGGAGGAGGUGGAUGGGGAGAGUUCGCAUCUGGGAGUAUAAUUCAGAUGACUUUUAUCAUCAGUACAUGUCACAAGAAAACAUUUAAAAUGACACUGAAACAAUCAUUGAAAUCAUGGUGCAUGGAGGAAAAAGCCACUUCUCGACAUGGUCUGCACAUACAGUAGAUACAUUCAUUAUUGUCCAAGGGAAGACAGUAACUGCCUUUCAUUUUAAAGAGCUUGGUGGAGAGGCUGAAGAAAUGUGCUGCAGCUGAAGGU